rnacentral:ncRNA from 1 species
CGUUCUCGGGGCGGGGUGAAACUCCCCACCGGCGGUAACGGAGCCUGGCUCCGAAGCCCGCGAGCGCUCUGAAAUGCAGAGGUCAGCAGAUCUGGUGAGAUGCCAGAGCCGACGGUUACAGUCCGGACAGGAGAGAAC